AUAAAAAUUGAAAAGAUGGCACUCAAAGACCUUAGUUGUCAAAUCACCAAAGACAAAAGUACUUUUAGGCCAAGAAACAAAGAAAGGACAUACUUGUUUCAGGCCAUUUUUUGCCCUUUCCAGUUUCCACCUGCCGGAGACGCUACACACACACAAAGUGCACUUAUUGGUGGCUUCCAACAGACUUCUCCAGCUAUGGAGCUACACAAUCACAAUGCUCCUGAUGGACCUCAUCUUGUUCAAGUUCAUAAUGAAAGACUUAAGGAUAUGAUUUCUGGAGGCUCAGAAGACCUUGAUUCCUGGAACUCACUGAUAUCAGAGAUUGAGAAAACCUACCCUGAUGAUAGAAAUACGAUUUGUUUGGCUUUUGACUCCUUUUUGUCUAAAUUUCCACUGUGCCACUGGAAUUGGAAAAGAUACGCUUAUCACGAGGCACGGCUAUGUAAUGCUGAAAAAGCUGUUGAAAUCUUUGAGCGAGCUGUGGAAUCAACACCAUUUUCUGUUGGUCUGUGGGUUGACUAUUGUACCUUUGCUAUGAGUUCGUUCGAGGAUCCAUUUGAUAUUCGUAGGUUAUUUACCAAAGGAAUCUCCCUUGUUGGGAAGGACUACUUCUGUCAUGUCUUAUGGGACAAGUACAUGUCCUUUGAGUUCUCUCAGGAGAAGUGGGGUUCCCUUGCUCUAGUUUAUGUACAGGCUCUAUGCUUUCCCACAAAGAAGUUGCAUAAGUACUACGAGAAUUUUAAGAAGCUUGUAACCAAUUUAGAAGAGGAGAUUCUACAUCUCAGUGAUGACAGCCGUGAUGUACAACUAAAAGAGCUAUCCAGUGCAACAGCUGUGUUAUUGAAUAAAGAAAUUGUUCAAGUUGUUAAGGACCUCCAGGAUCCUAGUGAUGAUUCAGUCAGGUUGAAAGCACUAUAUAAGUACAGAUACUGUGGAGAUCAGCUGUACCAGAAAGCUUGUCAACUAGAGGAAAAAAUUAAAAGUUUUGAAUCAAACAUCCAGAGGCGAUAUUUCCAGGCAACUCCUCUUGACAACGAUGAGCUGAAGAACUGGCAUGAUUAUCUCGACUUCAUCGAAAAACAAGACGAUUUUGAUUGGGCCCUAAAACUUUAUGAGAGGUGCUUGAUAUCCUGUGCCAACUACCCCGAGUUCUGGAUACGUUAUGUGGAUUUCAUGGAGACUAAGGGAGGACGAGAGCUAUCGAUGUUUGCUUUAGAACGAGCAACAAAAGUUUUCUCAAAGAAUGUUCCAGAAAUCCAUCUUUUUACUGCUAGAUAUAUGGAGCAAAUUGGAGAUCCAGAUGGUGCUCGUGCUUCCUUUCCUCCUAUUAAUACAGAUUGGGACUCCUGUUUCAUUCAAUAUGUUACCAAUCGAGCCAAUAUGGAAAAACGUCUGGGAAAUUGCUCAGCUGCUUCUGAUAUCUACAAAAGAGCAAUUAAUAUGGUAGUGAAGGAGCAGAAAUUGCAAUGCAUUCCGAUGCUAUACAUUGGUUAUUAUCGUCUAACACACAUGAUCACUGCUAGUCUGGAGGUUGCAAGAGAUGUAAUAAUUGAUGGAAUAAAGCGUUUCCCUGGUUGCAGACUUCUUUAUGAGGAAUUGAUAAGAUUUGCGAUGGCACAUGAAGGAACUAAGCAACUGAGCAUAGUAGACUCUGUCAUAGCUAAUGCAAUCUCUCCUGUGUCAGAUGUAUCCCAAGAUUUGGAUAUAAAAGAUCGAGAGAGUAUUUCUAUAUUAUUUUUGGAGUUUGUUGAUCUUUGUGGUUCUAUCUCUGAGAUAAGAAAGGCAUGGAGUCGUCACAUCAAAUUGUUUCCUCAGUUCAUAAGAACCAAUACCUCAUCAAAACACAUAGGUACUGAGAAGAGUUCACUGAACAGCUUUACUGAACAAAGGAGAAACAUUUCCUAUGUCUUAGUUAAUCAGCCAUCAAAAGGACCAAGCUCUGGCCACAUGAUCCAGCUGUCCAAAGGAGAGCAGGCACAGUUACCGCCGCUUAAAGAUGGGAAGCAACCAGAUCAGCUUUCUGCAGAGCCGUCUCUAGCUGUGGUCAAGGGAAAAGAUGCAACUGGUAAACAAGAACAGAUAUCUCCCGAAGUGGAAGAUUUAUCCAGUGGAAAUGGCUCUGGGAAAAAUGAGUUAUCUUUUGACCCUCUUGUUCAAUCAAAGGAUGAUUCCUCAACGCCAAUGGAACUAAGUCAUGGUCCAUCACAGCAGAGGAGAGACGAUUUGGCUGGACCAAUGGACUUCUCUUAUGAUUCCAUACCGCAACCUGGAGAAGAUGUAUCCAAGUCUCCUGGGCCAGUUCUGGACUUUAAAGAGCCCUCAAGGCCCCUUUCUGUUUUAGAAGCCUCACAAGAACGUCCAAGUUCAGAAAUUAUCAAUCAAGAUCAGGAUGUUGAACUUGAACAGCCACCGGUGCCGGUUUCUUUGGAGAAUCUUUCCUUAAUCUCUGGGGAAAGGGAAUCCCAGGAUUUGGUCGCCAUGCAUUCUGAUGAUCUUAAAGGUGGUGAAGAAAUUCCCUCAUCAAGCACAGGCAGACCACCAGAUCCUGUAAAUGAUGGAGAUGGACCAGCUAGCUGUUCAUCUCCAGGUCCUGUUACUGCGGGAAGUUCACAGCAAAUAUAUGAUACAGCAGCAGUUCCUGAGAGCGGUAGUUCAAAGGUGUCCAAUCAACCGGCAGGAUAUGAUCAGCAACAGCAAUCACAACGAGCUGAUUCGCAAGAACCGCGCUUGCUUGAUUCUCAGGGUGAUUCGCAGUUCCAACAGGUCCUGGAUAAGGCUCCUGUCCAUAGUCAAUCGGGUACUUCUCAGGGGAAUAUCCCGGGUAAUGAAUGCUGGACAUUAAAUAAUAUGCCACAGCAGAUCUCCAUGUCUGGAAACCAUCUCCAGGCGUCUUCCUCGCCUGUUUCUUAUUCUCAACCAAGUCCAGCUCAUUAUUCUGCGCACAAUAGCCAGCAAAUUGGGCCCAAUCCCCAUCACGAAGCCUUGAAUCAAACAUCACAACACAUCUCCCUAUCAGAAAACCACCCUCAAAUGUCUUCCCCACAUGCUUCUUUUUCUGAACCUAGUACACCUCAACAUUCUGGGCAGAGUAGCCAGCAAAUUGGGCCUUCACACCACCAGGAAGCAUUGAAUCAAACAUCACAACACUAUUACCAGCAGCAGCAUCUUUCGCACGGACAGUAUCAACAGCAUCAGUUGCAAAUGCAACAGCCCUACACUAGUAUACAGCAGCAACAGAUGCAUCCACAUCCAAGUCAACUGCUGUAUCAGCAGCAGCAGCUUAAUCUGCAACAACAACAGCAACAGAGUCAGCAGCAAACACUUCUAUUGCAACAGCAACAGUAUUUCCAGCAAAUUCAGUCUUUACCAUAUCAACAGCAGCAAUAUCUUCACCAGCUACAAUAUUCACAGCAGGCACAGCAACUAUGGCAACAGCAAUUUCAACAGCAAGCACAACAGAUGCAACCACAGGAAGGCCAGCAAACGCAGCAGCAGCUGGAGCAAUAUCGUCAGUCACAAGAACUUGCAUACCAGAUGCAACAGCAUGGUUAUCAACUACUCAUGCACCAGUACCAAGUACGUCAACAAGGAUGUCAGAGCAUGCAACAACAACAACAAUGGCAACAACAGGGAAAUCUCCAAUUACAGCAAUACUCUCACCUACAACAGCAGCAAUAUCAUCAUCGGGAUCAGCAAACGGACGAGGAAUACAAUCAAACUCAUCAGGUUCCUUCCUAUAGUUGCUUCUAUUAUUGUAUUGCUAUCUAAUGAUGGUUUUUUUGUCUAAACAAAUGGAAGAGGAAAACCAUAUAGAUAUUAUAUAGGAUACCUUAGGCUAUUUAGAAUUUAAUCAUAAAAUAUUUAGUCACCUUAUGAGCAUACGGAUUUAUUACCUGCCAUAUUAUGUAUAGCUCAAGAUUGCUGUAUAAGGAUAACCUUUGUACAUUGUUUAUCAGGUGAAUGAGAAGGUUUUCUAUUUUUACAUAAAUGUGGUUGACACUCAUUCCAUUACUUAAGUUUGAAAAAUACCUCCACAAAUUUUAACUGCAUGUUCUCUAGAGUGUGUGCACCGCAAGUUAGAAAGGAAGCGAACUACAGUAUGAAGUAUCUACUGUGAGAGGCCCAUGAAGUGAAUCAUGGCAAUUAGGGUUGAUUCUAAUUUGGCAGGAUUAGUUGAAGAAAGAAAAAAGGAGCUCCAUGCUAGCUCUUAGAAUGAAAGUAUUCUCAUCUAUUUAAGAGAUGGAGUUCAUAUCCCACAUCAUGACAGUAAAUUCACAUGAUAUAGCGAUGGUAACAGCAGUUCAGCAUCAAUAGUUGACAGGGUCUUGAUCUCCGCAAAGUAUGUCCAAGUACAUUAAACUGUGACAUUGUUGAGAGCCUUAUUUGAUCAUAUACUUGUAACACUAGACUGUGGGGAGCGAAGCGAAGAAAGUGUAAAUCCUAUUGUCGUUUUAAAAUUUGUGACUGCCAAGGGCCUUGUGGAGCAAGUGAAGAGCUGAUGGUUUUGCGUCAAGUCUUCUAAUUGACUCAAACAGAUAAUAGUUGCUAUCAGUACUCUCUGUGGGUAUAGGGUAAACACGUUGCGGUGCAAUAUUCUUCAGGAACUCCUGCUGCUGAAUCAGAAUCACCAGAAAUUGCAAAGGAACCACAUUCGGCAGAAAAAUUUAGACGUUCUGUAUCCCCUUAUAGGCGGCCUCCUGCUCGUGG